GGUUCGAUGGUGUAGUUGGUUAUCACUUCUGUCUAACAUGCGAACGAGAGCGGUCUAAUAACCAACCUCACAAGCUGUUCACAGGCGGUCCUCAGUUCGAACCUGGGUCGAAUCA